rnacentral:snRNA from 1 species
GUGCUUGCUUCGGCAGCACAUAGACUAAAACUGGAAUGAUACAGAGAAGAUGCACCUGGCCCCACGCACAUUCAUGAAGUGGUUCAUAUUUUU